CCUCAGUAACGGCGAGUGAAGCGGCAACAGCUCAAAUUUGAAAUCUGGCCGUCCUGCGGUCCGAGUUGUAAUUUGUAGAGGAUGCUUCGGGUGAGGCGCCGUUCUAAGUUCCUUGGAACAGGACGUCAUAGAGGGUGAGAAUCCCGUACGUGACCGGUGACCCAGCCCGUGUGAAGCUCCUUCGACGAGUCGAGUUGUUUGGGAAUGCAGCUCUAAAUGGGUGGUAAAUUUCAUCUAAAGCUAAACACCGGCCAGAGACCGAUAGCGCACAAGUAGAGUGAUCGAAAGAUGAAAAGCACUUUGGAAAGAGAGUUAAAAAGUACGUGAAAUUGUUGAAAGGGAAGCGCUUGCAACCAGACUUGCUCGUGGGUGAUCAGCCGUCCUUCUGGGCGGUGCACUCGCCCGCGAUCAGGCCAGCAUCGGUUCGGGCGGUUGGAUAAAGGCCCCGGGAAUGUGACUCCCUCCGGGGAGUGUUAUAGCCCGGGGUGCAAUGCGGCCAGCCCGGACCGAGGACCGCGCUUCGGCUAGGAUGCUGGCGUAAUGGUUGUAAGCGACCCGUCUUGAAACACGGACCAAGGAGUCUAACAUCUAUGCGAGUGUUUGGGUGUCAAACCCAUGCGCGCAAUGAAAGUGAACGGAGGUGGGAACCCUCAAGGGUGCACCAUCGACCGAUCCUGAUGUCUUCGGAUGGAUUUGAGUAAGAGCAUAGCUGUUGGGACCCGAAAGAUGGUGAACUAUGCCUGAAUAGGGUGAAGCCAGAGGAAACUCUGGUGGAGGCUCGCAGCGGUUCUGACGUGCAAAUCGAUCGUCAAAUUUGGGUAUAGGGGCGAAAG
rnacentral:rRNA from 1 species